UCGAACUCUCUCCCCUCCUCUCCUCCCACAGAUACCGCCGCUGUAAUAUUUUUGUCGAGAGAAAAAAAAAGAGAUCGAGAUAUAAAACAAGAGAUCGAGGGAGAAAAGGAUAGAGAGAGUUUGAUUCGAACCACUGAUGGUGGUUGAUUAGGGUUUUGGUUUAAAUCUGGAUCUAUCUUGCAACCAAGAAGAAAAAGGGGAUUUUGAUGUUUUAGAUGGCAGAAUACAACUGAAUCGAAGAUAAGGUGUUUACGAAUUGAAGGAAUAAGAAAUUAUGGGUUCGAUUUGUGGAAUUUGUGUUGCUGCUGCUAGAAAUCAAGUUUGGGUUGGAGGAGAAUAAAUUAGGUUUUUGAUGAAAUUGAAUUCACAGAGAGGAGUUGAUGGUUCGAUAUUUGAUGGGUUUUGUUGAUUUGUUGAAGAUGAACUCGAGAAUGAAUUUGUGAUGGGAAAUAGGAAUUAGGGUUCUGAACUGAGUUGAUGUUGGAGUUGGUGGAGAAGGAAAUUGGUAUUGUUUGUUCUCGAGCAGAAAUUAAGAAGAAACUGGUGCUUCUGUUGAAUUGAAAUGGUGGAUUAUUAUAAGUGAUAUGAAUGAUUAAGAUCUGAAAACCGGUGAGGAGAUGCAGAGACUCGGAGAUGAUGAGAUUGAAUGAAGAAGUUAUGCUAGAAGAAACUCAAAGUUUCUGGCCAUGUGAUUGGUAGAAGAUGGGGUUCAAAUUAAUAGAGGUUUUAAAGAAAUGGUGGGCGCCGUUCAACCAGGGAAAGAAAUUGGUUUGUGUAUGAGUUCGUUAAUUCAUGCUGAGUGCUGCCUUAAUUGGUCUUAUUUGGUGCUUUGUCGGAAUUCAGCUGAAGGUUUUAUAAGACAUCGUCGAUGGAGUGAUGGAGGAGUGGAACUCUGAAGAAGAAUGAUGAUGUUGUAUUCAAAGUUUGAGUGUUCUGAUGGCCGAAGGAAUUGCAGGCAGUGGUGAUUGUUCGGCAUACAACAAUAGAAUCCUGGGAUUCUAGCAUCCUACGGAGUUUGGGGUUCAUCCGGUCUGAAUUGGGUUGAGUUUGAAUGCGAAUUGCAGGUGGUUUCAGCAGCUGAUGGCCUUGAAGAGUUGGUUUGCAGGUAGAUAUGUUCAGGCGGUGCUGAAGAAUGAAUUUGGCUAAGGCUGAUGCUGUUGUGUGGUUGCAAUGAAACUGCAGGUGUGUUGCAGUGAGCUUGAUGGAGAAUACAAGGGGUCUGAUGUUAAGACUGAGAGAUUGUGAUGAUUGCAGGAUGUCUCAGCUUCAAUGGAGAUUGCAUCAAGGUGCAGUGUAAUAUGUGUGACAAAGAAUACCAUGAAACCAAGAGUUGUCCAUGGGUAUAUUCAAGGUGCAAACAUAUACCUUGUAAUGGAGUUAGAGCACUGUUGAGAUCUAAAACAGAUCAAACAAAUGGAAGGACCUUCUUCAAAUGUUUGAAUCCCACCUGCAAUUACUUUGAGUGGUUUGAUCUUGCUUCUUCUCCAACUACAGCACUUCAAAUCAAGCUUCCAAGUCCAAAUUGCUGCAUUGCCUGUGGAGAAGAAAACCAUUUUUUCAACAAUUGUCCAUUGCAAAAUCAAUCUUGCUUCAAACAGAACUGCAAUUCAAAGUUAGAACUAAAGGUUUGCAAGCACAAUGUCAAUAUAGCUUACCUGGUAUGCAAGAAGAAAGACUGUGAUGCUUUCAGAUGGGCAUCAGAUGCACUUGUAAUUGAAAAAAAAAAGAAACAUUGAAAGGGAAAGUACUAGAAAAUAUGUAAUGAAUUUAAGAAAAAUCUGAAAAUGUAAUGAAAUUAUAAUUUGUAAUUGAACA